CCUACGGGAGGCAGCAGUGAGGAAUAUUGGUCAAUGGUCGGGAGACUGAACCAGCCAAGCCGCGUGAGGGAUGAAGGUACAGCGUAUCGUAAACCUCUUUUGUCAGGGAACAAAGGCGGGGACGCGUCCCCGGAUGAGUGUACCUGAAGAAAAAGCAUCGGCUAACCCCGUGCCAGCAGCCGCGGUAAUACGGAGGAUGCGAGCGUUAUCCGGAUUUAUUGGGUUUAAGGGGUGCGAAGGCGGUCUGUUAAGUCAGCGGUAAAAGCCCGGGGCUCAACCCCGGCCCGCCGUUGAAACUGGCAGUCUCGAGUUGGAGAGAAGUAUGCGGAAUGCGCGGUGUAGCGGUGAAAUGCAUAGAUAUCGCGCAGAACUCCGAUUGCGAAGGCAGCAUGCCGGCGCCACACUGACGCUGAGGCACGAAAGCGAGGGUAUCGAACAGGAUUAGAUACCCCUGUAGUC
rnacentral:rRNA from 1 species